GCACAGAGUUAGCCGAGGCUUAUUCGGCGGGUACCGUCAGCAUCGUCCCCACCAAAAGCGGUUUACAACCCGAAGGCCGUCGUCCCGCACGCGGCGUUGCUCCCUCAGGCGUGAGCCCAUUGGGGAAAAUUCCUUGCUGCUGCCUCCCGUAGGAGUCUGGGCCGUUUCUCAGUCCCAGUCUGGCUGGUUGUCCUCACAGACCAGCUACCCGUCACGGGCUUGGUGCGCCGUUACCACACCAACAACCUGAUGGGCCGCAGGCCCCUCCGGCGGCGCGUUGCCGCUUUCCUCCCGCGCGAACGGGAGCGUAGGCGGGAUUAGCGGGCCUUUCGGCCAGUUAUCCCCCACCGCCGGGCAGGUGCCCACGUGUUCCUCAGCCGUGCGCCACUCACCGGGCAAGCCCGGUGCGUGCGACUUGCAUGCAUUAGGCACGCCGCCAGCGUUCGUC
rnacentral:rRNA from 1 species